rnacentral:misc_RNA from 1 species
UUUCCGUAGGUGAACCUGCGGAAGGAUCAUUUCCGAAACAAACAUAUAUACCAACCCACGGUGUGCAAUACGUUUCUGGCUGUAAAAUUAUUUUGCCUCUUCCUUCUAUUUCUUUCUUUCUUCUUUUCUUUUUUGCUCUUCUCUUCGGAGAGAGUAAGAGAGUAAGAGAGUAAGAGAGAGGAGAAAUGAAGAGGAGGAGCAUAAUUUGCAUCCACUUUUAUAUUAUAUGACAAUCUCUGGAUUGUCAUGUAAUUCUCUUUUUCUUAUUUUUUAAAAAAAGAGAAACAAACCCACGAACCACCAAGAAAGACAAAAGUGAGCCGCCUGGCUAAGGCCGGCCUCAAGUUUCUCUUUCUAUUGGUUUUCUACAAAUAUUUUAACACUGUUUUUUCUAUCAUAGAAAAAACACAAUAAAUGAUACGACAACUUUUAACGGUGGAUCUCUUGGCUCGU